rnacentral:rRNA from 1 species
UAGUCCGCACGAGCGCACCCUUGUCCUUAGUUGCCAGCAUUAAGUUGGGCACUCUAAGGAGACUGCUGGUGACAAACCGGAGGAAGGUGGGGACGACGUCAAGUCAUCAUGGCCCUUACGUGUAGGGCUACACACGUGCUACAAUGGCAUUUACAGAGGGAAGCAAGACAGUGAUGUGGAGCGGACCCCUUAAAGAAUGUCGUAGUCCGGAUUGGAGUCUGCAACUCGACUCCAUGAAGUCGGAAUCGCUAGUAGUCGCAGGUCAGAAUACUGCGGUGAAUACGUUCCCGGGCCUUGUACACACCGCCCGUCACACCAUGGGAGUGGGAUGCAAAAGAAGUAGUUAGUCUAACCUUCGGGAGGACGAUUACCACUUUGUGUUUCAUGACUGGGGUGAAGUCGUAACAAGGUAACCCUAGGGGAACCUGGGGUUGGAUCACCUCCUU